CCUCUCUCCACGUCCACGGCGCCGAGUCUCGCCACGGUGGCGCAGGCGCCAGGGAGGUUCCCCGGCUUUGCCGCGCGGAGGAAGUCCCGGUUACGCAGAGCGCGCUGGGGCAGGGCUGACCUUCCCCUUUCUCUACUUCACUGGCCUCCUCCAGACGUGGUGGUUGCGCCCUUUCGGCCUCGCUUUCCGUUUUUUGGCUUCAUCCCCUAGAUCUGCAAACAGUUCCUCGUGUUUCUUCCGUUAGCCGGGAAACGCGAACUGCAGCGUUUGGGACCCGGGUUUGCGCGUGUGGAAAGCAAAAGGGGUUACUCUGCUGGAGUUCGACAUUGCAAAUAAAGGUCUUUAUCCCCGGCGGUUCUACAAAAUUAGUUCUGCAGGGAUUCUGGUUGAAAGAAGCGUUAAAGUGGGCCUUGUAGGAGUCAGCAAUAAUCCAAUUUUACAUGGGUGCAGGUGGCUGCCUGUGUCUAGCGCUUUCACACAUCUCAUAUCUUCAUCCACGCCGUGGGUAUUUUUUUUCCACGGUGUGUUUCUGUUGCUGCCUCCAGUAUAUUGCUUAAUCAUCCUACCUGGUAAUUAUUUAUGCAUUUUUCUCCUACUCUCGACUCAGCUCCUAGGGAAUAAAAACACAUUAACUUAUCUUUGUGCCCACAGCACCCACCAAGUAUUUCCAUCACGUAAUACUGCCUCUAGAAAGGCAGGAGGAGAAGCAGUCACGCUAAGGAUCUAGGCAAGCCAGAUCUUUUGUCCGGUUUUAGGAGGUGGCCAGCCCUUACUUAUUCCACAAGUGUUUUUCCAGAAACUCAGACUUGAUAUUGCCUCAAGUCCAAGGCAGUGUGCUUCCCCCACUCACAUAUCACUAAUAGUAGCUAACAUUUGUUCAGAUCCCUGUAUGUACUCUGCCACUGUUUUAAAUGUUACACCCGGGUUACCUCAUUUAAUCCUUACAACUGCCCUGUGAGGUAGGUACUAUUAUUAUCUCUACUUUGUAGAUGGGAUUCACCGAGGCACAGACGGUUAAAAAACCUAGCCCAAAUAACACAAAUAAACAGCAGAGCAUGCAGUGCUAGAGUCUGCAUUCUUAACAAUUGCUAUAUUCUCCCUCUCCGUGAAUGUGGGCUGAGAUGCUGAAACAGGCAUGUGCUGUGGGGGAGAAAAAGCUUUGUCCAACCAAGUGCUUUCUAAUGUCCAGAUGACAUAGAGCUAGGAUUUCCUAAUGUCUUUUUUCCCCUAUUUUUCUCUCCAUUUCAGGGUUGAGUUUGUGCAUCGAUUGUGAACACAACAGGCAGCAGGCUAUAAUGGUGGUCCUGGCUGGAGUAGUUUUCACAGACUUCAGUAAUCUGUGGAGAUGAACGGGCAGUUCUCUGUAGUUUUCACAGAUCACUGCCAGUUCGUUUUGAGGCCUUCAGGAGUGAAGACCUGGCUCAUCAUCACUCUUUGUUGUUUUGUUAAAUUUAUUUACACCCUACUUUAUUCCAGAGGAAAGGAUUUAACGUAGUUUACAUAAAUGUGUACAUCAGGGUAAAUUAAAAAUAAGUACAGAGAAAAAUAGGACAAAAGAAAACCGUGAGUGUGAAAGAUAAGAUUAAGCCAGCAGUUUUGUAUGCAAAAUGCAUGGUGUAAGGUCCUAUUGGUUUGCUGGAGGUAGGCCACACAUAUGACUCUCAGUUUUCUAGCAACCAAGAAAAAGAUCAGUUGCAAUCGGAGUAGGUGUUUUGGCUAAGCUGGAACUAGGACUUGAAUAUAGCAGCUUGUAGAGUUAUACCACUUGCCCAAAUCUCUUCCAUGAGCCUCUUUAAGUGUAACAGAAUGCCUGGGAGCACGUAAAUGCUCCUACUUAGAUGCCUACUUAGCCUCUAAUUUUCAUGGGGCCCAUGAAUCCCAUGAAAAAGAACUUUGAACCCUGUCCACAAUUAGAGUUCAGGUAUACGCAGACAUGUUUAAAGACAAGGGACACCCAAAGGAAAGAUUGCACAGAGAGAAAGUGAGCAUCCGAGAGAAAAUCACCACAAGUGAGGCAGAGGGAGGCCGGUCUCAGCAGAGUUUUGGAGGUCGUGAGAAGAAGAGGUAGGAGAUAGGAGAGUGGUUCCGAGUACUUGCCUGCUGAUGUUACCUUCUCCACCCCCACCAGGUUUUCCAGUGCCUGGAGUCUUGGGCAGGAAUGGGCCACUGUAAGAAAGAGCUUUAUCACUAGGGCCUCAGCCAACUUUUCUGUGGGAUAUCCCUCCAAAAUAAUUAAGAGUUCAGAAUGCUUCAGAUUUUGAAGUGAAACUGGUACAUAUAUUAAGUGUUACUUAAUAACCCGAUAGUUUCUAGGGCAGCUCACCAUAAUCCCAAGUAUUAGCCACCACCCUCACCCCCUUCAGAGUAAAAUGUGUUUCCUGAAGGAAGUUGGGAAAAUGAAGAAAAAAAAUACAAAAAUCACCUAUAAUCUUACCAGUCAUAGAUGGCAGUUUUCCUGUCUUAUUUCUGAAUAAUGGUUGUUAAACAUUUGCCAGCACACCAUAAGGCUUAGGGAGGCAUCUGGGUCAUGCAUGUUAAUAUCCUUGGGUAAUUCCAGAAAUCUCUAUGAAGGGAAACUCCUGUUAUUUAUCUAGACUUCCUGAUUGCAAGGGGUUUGGGCAUCAUGAUUUAGGGGUCUUAAUAAAAUUAUUAUUUUAUUUUUACUAAUAGAUAAUGUCUGUGCCUAUCAGAUAAAGGCAAACCAGUGCUCAGAGGAACCCAACCAUCUCUGAAUUGAGACCAGAGAGCUGUCUCUAUGGAUAGUCCUUAGAGAAGGCAUUUCGGAACACAGUAAACAGCAGCCUGGUGACUCCGAUUACAGGGCCAGUUGCCUUUGUUACAAUAAAAGCAAGUCAUCUACACAGAUUUUUCCUACCAGGAAGAGCAUGUGCUGACCAACAGACAUGAAUUUCAGCCUGGUAGUUACAACAUUCACAGUAUACCCACAUCACUAAGCUGGGAGGCACAUUUUGAGACCCAGAAUCCUGACACCUCCAUGCCUUCAAAAGGAUACCGAGGUCUCCCUGUAUUGCCCAGGCUGGUCUCAAAC
rnacentral:lncRNA from 1 species